CCUACGGGAGGCAGCAGUGAGGAAUAUUGGUCAAUGGGCGGGAGCCUGAACCAGCCAAGUCGCGUGAGGGAAGACGGUCCUAUGGAUUGUAAACCUCUUUAGGCGGGGAGCAAUGCCGGGCACGCGUGCCCGGAGGGAGAGUACCCGCAGAAUAAGCAUCGGCGAACCCCGUGCCAGCAGCCGCGGUAAUACGGAGGAUGCAGGCGUUAUCCGGAUUUUUUGGGUUUAAGGGGUGCGUAGGCGGAUUUUUAAGUCAGGGGUAAAAUGUCCGGGUUAAACCCGGGCCGGCCGUUGAAACUGGGGAUCUUGAGUGGGCGAGAGGUAUGCGGAAUGCGUGGUGUAGCGGUGAAAUGCAUAGAUAUCACGCAGAACUCCGAUUGCGAAGGCAGCAUACCGGCGCCCGACUGACGCUGAGGCACGAAAGCGUGGGGAUCGAACAGGAUUAGAUACCCUUGUAGUC
rnacentral:rRNA from 1 species